GUAGAGAGAGACAGGGAUAGAGAGAGACAGUGGUAGAGAGAGACAGGGGAUAGAGAGAGACAGGGGUUGAGAGAGACAGUGGAUAGAGAGAGACAGGGAUAGAGAGAGACAGGGGACAGAGAGACGGUGGAUAGAGACAGACAGGGAUAGAGAGAGACAAGGGAUAGAGAGAGACAGGGGAUAGAGAGAGACAGGGGAUAGAGAGAGACAGGGGAUAGAGAGAGACAGGGAUAGAGAGAGACAGGGGGUAGAGAGAGACAAGGGAUAGAGAGAGACAGGGGAGAGAGAGAGACAGGGGAUAGAGACAGACAGGGAUAGAGAGAGACAGGAGAUAGAGAGAGACAGGGGUAGAGAGAGACAGGGGAUAGAGAGAGACAGGGGAUAGAGAGAGACAGGGAUAGAGAAAGACAGGGAUAGCGAGAGACAGGGGUAGAGAGAGACAGGGGAUAGAGAGAGACAGGGGAAGAGAGAGACAGGGGGUAGAGAGAGACAGGGAUAGAGAGAGACAGGGAAUAGCGAGAGACAGGGGAUAGAGAGAGACAGGGGA
ensembl:lncRNA